rnacentral:rRNA from 1 species
UACGUAGGGGGCUAGCGUUGUCCGGAAUCAUUGGGCGUAAAGCGCGCGUAGGCGGCCCGGUAAGUCCGUUGUGAAAGUCAAAGGCUCAACCUUUGAAAGCCGAUGGAUACUGCCGGGCUGGAGUCCGGAAGAGGCGAGUGGAAUUCCUGGUGUAGCGGUGGAAUGCGUAGAUAUCAGCAGGAACACCCGUGGCGAAGGCGGCUUCCUGGGCCGCCCCUGACGCUGAGGCGCGAAAGCGUGGGGAGCGAACGGG